rnacentral:rRNA from 1 species
GACGAACGCUGGCGGCGUGCUUAACACAUGCAAGUCGAAGGGAAAGGCCCUGCUUUUGUGGGGUGCUCGAGUGGCGAACGGGUGAGUAACACGUGAGUAACCUGCCCUUGACUUUGGGAUAACUUCAGGAAACUGGGGCUAAUACCGGAUAGGAGCUCCUGCUGCAUGGUGGGGGUGGGAAAGUUUCGGCGGUUGGGGAUGGACUCGCGGCUUAUCAGCUUGUUGGUGGGGUAGUGGCUUACCAAGGCUUUGACGGGUAGCCGGCCUGAGAGGGUGACCGGCCACAUUGGGACUGAGAUACGGCCCAGACUCCUACGGGAGGCAGCAGUGGGGAAUAUUGCACAAUGGGCGGAAGCCUGAUGCAGCAACGCCGCGUGCGGGAUGACGGCCUUCGGGUUGUAAACCGCUUUCGCCUGUGACGAAGCGUGAGUGACGGUAAUGGGUAAAGAAGCACCGGCUAACUACGUG